rnacentral:rRNA from 1 species
UACAGAGGUCUCAAGCGUUGUUCGGAUUCAUUGGGCGUAAAGGGUGUGUAGGUGGCGCCGUAAGUCGGGUGUGAAAUUUCGGAGCUUAACUCCGAAACUGCAUUCGAUACUGCGGUGCUUGAGGACUGGAGAGGAGACUGGAAUUCAUGGUGUAGCAGUGAAAUGCGUAGAGAUCAUGAGGAAGACCAGUGGCGAAGGCGGGUCUCUGGACAGCACCUGACACUGAGGCACGAAAGCUAGGGGAGCAAACAGG